AUGAACCCCACCACCAAACACCAAAAAGAGGCGGUUCAAGGGGCCAGGCUCGCCAGGUGUUGUGGGCUAGAGGUGCAGCGGCCCGUGAUCCCUCCACUGUCAGGAGUAGAAAGUGAUCGCUGCUCUAUGAACCCCACCACCAAACACCCCAGACCAAACACCAAAAAGAGACGGUUCAACCCCACCACCAAAAAGAGAGUAGGAAGUGAUCGCUGCUCUGUGAACCCCACCACCAAACACCAAAAAUAG